AUUGAACGCUGGCGGCAUGCCUUACACAUGCAAGUCGAACGGUAACGCGGGGCAACCUGGCGACGAGUGGCGAACGGGUGAGUAAUGUAUCGGAACGUGCCCAGUUGUGGGGGAUAACUGCUCGAAAGAGCAGCUAAUACCGCAUACGACCUGAGGGUGAAAGCGGGGGAUCGCAAGACCUCGCGCAAUUGGAGCGGCCGAUAUCAGAUUAGGUAGUUGGUGGGGUAAAGGCUCACCAAGCCGACGAUCUGUAGCUGGUCUGAGAGGACGACCAGCCACGCUGGGACCGAGACACGGCCCAGACUCCUACGGGAGGCAGCAGUGGGGAAUUUUGGACAAUGGACGCAAGUCUGAUCCAGCCAUGCCGCGUGCGGGAAGAAGGCCUUCGGGUUGUAAACCGCUUUUGUCAGGGAAGAAACGCUCUGGGUUAAUACCUCGGGGUAAUGACGGUACCUGAAGAAUAAGCACCGGCUAACUACGUGCCAGCCGCCGCCGUAA
rnacentral:rRNA from 1 species